rnacentral:rRNA from 1 species
AUGGCGACCGGCAAACGGGUGCGGAAACGUACAGGACCCUCCUUCAAGCGGGGCAUAGCCCAGAGAAAUUUGGAUUAAUACCCCAUAAUAUACCGAAGAGCAUCUCUUUGUUAUAAGAAUUAUUCACUUGAAAGAUGGCUGUGCGGCUGAUUAGGUAGUUGGCGGGUAAACGGCACCAAGCCCGCGAUCAGUAACUGGUGUGAGAGCACGACCAGUCACACGGGCACUGAGACACGGGCCCGACUCCUACGGGAGGCAGCAGUAAGGAAUAUUGGUCAAUGGACGCAAGUCUGAACCAGCCAUGCCGCGUGGAGGAUGAAGGUCCUCUGGAUUGUAAACUUCUUUUAUAUGGGACGAAAAAAGGCCUUUCCAGGUCGUCUGACGGUACCAUAUGAAUAAGCACCGGCUAACUCCGUGCCAGCAGCCGCGGUAAUACGGAGGGUGCAAGCGUUAUCCGGAUUCACUGGGUUUAAAGGGUGCGUAGGUGGGUUGGUAAGUCAGUGGUGAAAUCCCCGGGCUUAACUUGGGAACUGCCAUUGAUACUAUCAAUCUUGAAUACCGUGGAGGUCGGCGGAAUAUGUCAUGUACGGUGAAAUGCUU